AAAAUCACCGCCACAAAUCCGUUUUCAUGAGCAACGGAUCGAGCCCACCGCAAAACAUCCUCUCAACACUCAAACACCUACAAAGCAAUCCACAUAAUUUAAGUUUUCUACUAGUAUUCAUUUUAUUAAAUCUGUGACAAACAAUAACAUUAUAACCUGAGAAGUAUUGAACGCAUCCGAACAAUCAACAUGUUGUUCAAUCACACCACUUGCAUCUUCAUUUUCAUAAUCCAUAUCCGCU
rnacentral:lncRNA from 1 species